AUAUUGCAUUCCCCAUGUUUUAAGUACCUUGAUUGUGGCCUCCAUGGCACGCCGUGGAGUCUCCCGUCCUGCGUGGAGCUCCAUCACCUCCUGCCGUGCACCACUGACCGCCACCGCCCGUCUGCUCCCACAU